rnacentral:rRNA from 1 species
UGGGGAAUAUUGCACAAUGGGCGCAAGCCUGAUGCAGCCAUGCCGCGUGUGUGAAGAAGGCCUUCGGGUUGUAAAGCACUUUCAGCGGGGAGGAAGGCGUUAAGGUUAAUAACCUUGGCGAUUGACGUUACCCGCAGAAGAAGCACCGGCUAACUCCGUGCCAGCAGCCGCGGUAAUACGGAGGGUGCAAGCGUUAAUCGGAAUUACUGGGCGUAAAGCGCACGCAGGCGGUCUGUCAAGUCGGAUGUGAAAUCCCCGGGCUCAACCUGGGAACUGCAUUCGAAACUGGCAGGCUAGAGUCUUGUAGAGGGGGGUAGAAUUCCAGGUGUAGCGGUGAAAUGCGUAGAGAUCUGGAGGAAUACCGGUGGCGAAGGCGACCCCCUGGACAAAGACUGACGCUCAGGUGCGAAAGCGUGGGGAGCAAACAGG